rnacentral:lncRNA from 1 species
GCUUCUUGCUUGUCCAGGUGGUCUUCUGCCCAGCCACCACUAAUGAAGCCUGGCCAACCCUGAUGGGAAAGAUGGAGUGAUGGAAGGAGAGACAAUCGCAGAAACCAGAAGUUGGACCUGAAACAGUACCUGCUCUACAAAUACUAGAUGAAUGGAUGGACAAACAGAAAAGAUCAAGGCUGUUCUAUUAAGAGGAAAUGGGCUCAAGCAGCCCACGCUGCUGUUACUCACCCCAUAUUUGGGAGAUCUGACAGGGUUCUCCAGUGAAAACACCAGUAGAAGACAGAUGACGAUAGAUGAUAGACUGAUGAGAGUGACAGACAGAGAGAGAAAGAGAAAGAGGAAUUGGCUUCCGCAAUUGGGGGCACUGGUAAAGGCUGUAAUCUGCAGGGCAGGCCUGCAGCUACACACUCAGGGG